UACGUAGGGUGCGAGCGUUGUCCGGAAUUACUGGGCGUAAAGAGCUCGUAGGUGGUUUGUCGCGUUGUCCGUGAAAACUCACAACUCAAUUGUGGGCGUGCGGGCGAUACGGGCAGACUGGAGUACUGCAGGGGAGACUGGAAUUCCUGGUGUAGCGGUGAAAUGCGCAGAUAUCAGGAGGAACACCGGUGGCGAAGGCGGGUCUCUGGGCAGUAACUGACGCUGAGGAGCGAAAGCGUGGGGAGCAAACAGG
rnacentral:rRNA from 1 species